rnacentral:rRNA from 1 species
GCUGGCGGCGCGCCUAACACAUGCAAGUCGAGCGGUAACAGGGGUAAUUUAUUACCUGCUGACGAGCGGCGGACGGCUGAGUAACGCGUGGGAACGUACCCCAAAGCGAGGAAUAACUGCCCGAAAGGGUGGCUAAUGCCGCAUAUGAUCUUCGGAUUAAAGGAUUUAUCCGCUUUGGGAACGGCCUGCGUAUGAUUAGAUAGUUGGUGAGGUAAAGGCUCACCAAGUCUACGAUCAUUAAUUGGUCUGAGAGGAUGACCAGUCAGACUGGAACUGAGACACGGUCCAGACUCCUACGGGAGGCAGCAGUGAGGAAUCUUCCACAAUGGGCGAAAGCCUGAUGGAGCGACGCCGCGUGCAGGAUGAAGGCCUUCGGGUUGUAAACUGCUUUUAAAAGUGAAGAAUAUGACGGUAGCUUUUGAAUAAGCACCGGCUAACUACGUGUCUGUGUACGUG